UUGGCACCUGGGUAUUACUUAGAUUAAUAUUAAUAAAUAGGUACGAAUAUAAACAAACAAAUGGAAUUUAUAAUUGUAUCUAUAAAUAUAAGAGAUUGCCCACAGCUCGAAUUGUAUUGUUUUUAUCGAUGACAAACAUCAGGACCACCCCACCAUUUAGCGAGAUUGCUAUAGUGCUUUGGUGGAUGAUCUUUAUCGUGAAGCAUUGCACAAAUCCGACAAUACAAUUUGGUAUUUAUCAUGACUGUACCGGUGUCUUUCCAUUUAAAAUAUUCGUUGUAUAACUCAUCAUUUUUGUCCAAUUUGUGUAAAUACAUAGCUAAAUCCUCUGCAGAUUUAAAAUCAUCAACGUGUAUGAAUGAAUGGUUAGGCGCAACUAAUUCAUAUUCCCUCCGAGAUGCUCCCAUGACAAUUGGCAACACAUCAUGACUGUAAAUAACUCAUAGUGUUAAAAAAACAUUUUUGUUAUAAACUUCCAGGUACAGGUACACAAUCAGAAUUUUU